CGAUCCCUAGCUGGUUUGAGGAGGAUGAUCAGCCACACUGGGACUGAGACACGGCCCAGACUCCUACGGGAGGCAGCAGUGGGGAAUAUUGCACAAUGGGCGCAAGCCUGAUGGCAGCCAUGCCGGCGUGUGUGAAGAAGGCCUUCGGGUUGUAAAGCACUUUCAGUCAGGAGGAAAGCGUGGUGGUUAAUACCCAUCAUGUGUGACGUUACUGACAGAAGAAGCACCCGGCUAACUCCGUGCCAGCAGCCGCGGUAA
rnacentral:rRNA from 1 species